AUUAUUAUACCAAACAAAAUCACGACAAGUUGGAUGUGGUAUUCAGAAUAAGUGCAUACUAUACUCCAAGUGUAUAUCAAAUUAGCACCAAAUAUGAUUCUAUACAAAAAUAAUCAAAGUCUCUCACUCGCUGGUAGCAAGUAUAUGAUGUUGUAUGAUGAUUAAGGUCAUCUUUGACGGCAGAGCUUAACUAGAUUCUUGAAAAUUGGAUUCACCAUUAAAGGAGGAUAUUGUAGGUGUAAAGUGUAAAAUCAUCUUAUCCUUAUCCUGAAAAUCCAUCUACCAUUACAUUUUCAUUUUCAUUUCCCACACAUACUCCAAGUGUAUACACCACUAAUACCCCAUUGCGUCCCACAUAUACGAUCUCCACCCGUACACACUAAAAUGUUUGAGAUGAUGCAGAGUCAGCAAAUAGCAUAUCAAAGGAAUAUAGACGGAAUAUGAACUGCAAUCGCCUGGAGAUUAACUAGCCUCAAAUGUUGAUAAUGAUUAUCACGAUUAUGGUGAUCAUGAUUUGGAUUGACUCAUUAUUUUUAUUCUUGCGUGUUAAUUAU
rnacentral:lncRNA from 1 species